UUGUACUCACUUUAUAAGAUGGGGAAUUGGUAGAAGAAUAGUGAAAUAGCUAGAGCCCAUUAGGUUUGGUUAAAAUUACCAACUGUAUAUAUAUAAAGAGUCAAAAACUUCAACAAUUAGGCUUAUUUGGGCUGGGUUUAUUUGGAUUGAACUUAAAGUAUUCUACCUUUUUAAAAAGCCCACAUAAUCAAGCCCCGCCCUAACUUUUUUUAGCCAGGUUUAGGCUUGGCUUGAAUUACCGACUUUAGAAAUGACUUAUUCUAGAAAUAUAACAAGGAUGGGACAAAUUCAAUAGUGGGGGUGGAGGCAAAAGGCUCUCCUAAAGUGAAUUCCAAUUAUUGGGAUAAAUUUGUCAAGUGGUGCCAUACUCCCAACAACAAGUAAUUAAUUUUUUUUAUUAAUAUAUAUUGUUUUAUUUAAAUGUAAAUUGAUUUUUUUAUUAAUUUAUAAUUUAAAUUUAAAUAUAUUUUAUUUAUAAGAGGAAGUCUCCAAAAAUGCUAAGAACAGCAAGAGCUAGUAGACGAUCCACAAUACUGGUGGCUCAAAAGGAUUUGCCAUUCACUACGAUGAUAUGGAGCAAGAAACUGUUGUGACGGGAAAAAAAUGUUGAUAUGGGUGACCUUUAGUGGAGAUGCACACAAAUAAAGAUGGAUGCCCUCCUAUCACAUAAGGUUUAGAGCAUGAUUGAUGCGGGAGACAACAUUAUCAAGCAUUAGUGGAACUGGACCUAUACACUCCACUUCAAGCUGCUUAAUUACAACUCCUCCUGGUCAAGUGCAUUGCAUGGGUUUUGGUGCCAUAUUGACACAGGUAUUUGAUGCACAUGGGAGGGUGACUUUUGAGACUGUAAGAAACUUUGGGUCAACUACUAGGAGAAAGAAGAGGCAUGUGACUAACCCUGAGGAUAUUGCAAGGCAAGUGUAGAUAUGGGUUGACUUGGAACUCUCCCAUUAUCAUCAGGUGUUUCAAUUCAUGAGGGUGAACCAGUUCCCUGACUAGCCCCUCCUAGACUUGCUAGCAGCAAAAGUAAGAGGUACGAGUCCAUAAGACUAGCCCACAAGAAGCUGCGCCAGUUCCUGCCAAAGUCAGCCACCAGAGCAUGAACAAAAGAUGCCAUAAAAAAUUUUAAAUUUCAAACAUGGUAGCUGUUCAAGAACCACUACCAAUGUUGGCUGACUUUAUGAAAUUUUCACAUAUUGUACUGGUUCUAUAAACCACUACUAUGUUCACACUAAAAACUUCAAACCAGUGAACAAAAUUUUAUGUCAGACUUCAUUUUAGUUUUGGUAUAGCAGUUUGU